rnacentral:sRNA from 1 species
UUUUACGUCUCAAGACUUAACACUUAAACUACUUAUCCGAUCCAAAACUAGAGUAACUGAAACACCAUAAGCUACUUAACUAGCAUAUCACAUCAUAUUAGUUGACUUAAGAAACAAAUUACUCCUUGGUUGUUUUGUUGAUGAGACUAGUGGAUGUGAGGGAUCACACCUCCUCCAACAAUUGUUCCUUUGAUGAGUGUGUCAAGCUCCUCAUCUCCUCUAACCGCCAACUGCAAAUGCCUUGGAGUUAUCCUCUUCACUUUCAAAUCCUUGUUAGUGUUUUCGGCCAACUGAAGAACCUCAGUAGUUAGGCAUUCAAGGAUUGAAGUCGUGUAGACAACAUCAGUCGCACCAACAGUACCAUGUGCAGAAACUCUGGUCUUAAGUUGCUUGUGAAUACGAGCCACUGGAAACUGAAAGAAACAAAGAAACAAUAUCAGUAUAAAAUUUCAUCAAAUUAGACUACAAAAAAUGAAAUUUC